rnacentral:rRNA from 1 species
AAUUAUUUAUUCGAUGGUUUCUUACUACAUGGAUAACCGUAGUAAUUCUAGAGCUAAUACAUGCGUAAAGUCUCGACUCUUGCGGGGAGGGAUGUAUUUAUUAGAUUAAAAGCCAAUGCGGGUUCGUCCCGGUCUUUUGGUGAGUCAUAGUAACUGUUCGAAUCGCAUGGCCUUGCGCCGGCGAUAGUUCAUUCAAAUUUCUGCCCUAUCAGCUUUCGACGGUAGUGUAGUGGACUACCGUGGCAUUCACGGGUGACGGAGAAUUAGGGUUCGAUUCCGGAGAGGGAGCCUGAGAAAUGGCUACCACA